AUUCUGCCCAUGCGGGGAAGGAUGAGAAGCUUCGACUAAGGUUCGGCUCGAGCGUCAGCGUGAGAGCGUUGCCGCAGGCAACGACCCGAAGGGCGAAGCGCGCAGCGCUGAGUAAUCCUUCCCCCACCACCA
rnacentral:sRNA from 1 species